AAGAAAGAGGAGACUUCUAAUGAUGAUCAGUUAUCUUUGGAUGUAAAGAAUUUAGAUUUAAUGGAUGAGGUUUCUAACAAUGCAAGAAACAAUGGGAAGCUUGCCCAAACAUUUAUCUUUGAGGAGCUUGCUGCCGCAACAGGCAAUUUCCGGUCAGAUUGUUGCUUGGGUGAAGGAGGUUUCGGCAAAGUUUACAAGGGGUAUUUGGAUAAAAUCAACCAGGUUGUUGCUAUUAAGCAACUUGAUCGAAAUGG
rnacentral:misc_RNA from 1 species